AGGGUUUAUUGGUCUCACAUUACAGACACAUUUUAUCAUAUGUAAGCAUUACAGCAAGUUCUGUAUAAUGAGAUACAGAAACAAACACCAAGAAAGGUUGUGAUAUAGCAUAAGACAUCCUUAAAUGGAGAAAUUCUACACAGGAAGAGGAACCUAGAGAUCCUUGUGUGUUAUUUCUCUUCUGUCUCUAGCUCUUCAUAUGUAUCCAUGUCAAAGAUAAUUUGUUGAUAAAUGUCCAGGCUAGCCUUUAAAUACAUUUAAGCUUUCCCCAUGUUUAUGAAUUUUCUCCUCCUUGUAUUCUAUUCUAUAAGUUCACUAAUAAGUAUAGAGCUCACACCACACAGAUGGAAAUAGAAGGAUGCAUACAGUUGGAGCUAGAGGUGUAUCCAGUUUUUAUUCACUUUGUGACCUUGAGCACAUUAUGCAAUUUCUUUGUUCUUUGUCUGUUCAAGGUAAAUACAAUAAUGUCUUCAUCUCAGGGUUGUUAUGGGGAUUAAGUAAUUGUAUUUCACAUGCCUGGCACUCAGUAGGAGCUUAAAGGUUGUUAGUUUCCCUGCUUUUCCAAAAGGAAUCUUAGACAUCAUCACCCUUCUCUUUUGACAAAUGAGAAAGCUUAAGACCACAGAAGUUAAAAAAAACCCACACAUCUGAAGUCCCAUUUCUACACUCUUUCCUCUGCUGUCCUUUCUCUUAUUAGCUUGUUUAAAUUCAAUAGAGAAGAGAAAACUCAGUGGAAUCAAAAAGUAUUCUUUUCCUCUUUUUAAUAUAGGUAAGCCACCAAGAGACUUUUAAAGUAGGAGUCAGUUUUAUGAAAGGUAAUAAGUCGUCUAAGAACUGUUCUAAAUCCUCAGAGAUAUUAAAAACAGAAGUUCUGUUCUUCCAAGAUUUCCAUAGCAGACGUAAGUAUUCUGUGUGCUUUGGCACCAAGAACCCCAGCACUGAGUAUUUAUCUGCACAUUUCAAUUCAGGCCUCCGGAAUUUCUUGCCCAUGGAAUUGGCAGAGGAACCAGACUUCAGUAUUCAAAGUGGUCAAGUUUGCGCAGACACAGCUGUAUUUGAAGUCCAGCUCUCUUCCAUUAGUCAACAGAACUUGCACAAAAUGCAAGUAAUUUAAAUUUAAGUGUUGAGAUCUUACCCUGCUUUCAUAUCUGUGUCAUCUUUUCCCAAACCUGAAGAUCACCCAUGGAUAAGCCAAGAGAACCCAUGAUCAUGUGCAUGACGGAAAAAAAGCAAAAUUGGGCAACCUGUAAUUUAGCUCUUGGCCUCUUCAUUUAAGGAAGAAUGGCAAGCUUUAUUCAGCAGGAAGGAGAUAUUCAAUACUGCCAUUAAAAAUAGCUAAAAGAGUCUGUUAUUUCUUUAAAAACAUGUUUUUAAAAUAAUAUAUUACCAUAGUAAAAUUGGUUGAAUUUUGUUUUUUAAAAAAUAUGUAUAUUAAUUGAUCUCUCUUAGUUGUUUCAGUUGCCUCCUUACCAGUCUCAAGUCAAGUUCUUACUCUGUUCAGAAGCACCAGGAAGCCUUAACCGUCACUAAGGCCACUUGUGGCCGCUGAUACAUGGAAACACAGCCACUGGAAAUAGGCUGUAUUUUUGACUAUACCAGUUGCUCUUAGCAAAUUGCUAACACAGAAAACUAUAUCGGUUCUUAUAACUCUUAAUGGUCCAGCCACAGUCCGCUUAUUUUUGUCAUAGGGAUCUACAGAAGGGCACAAAAUUGGUCAAAUAAAGGCAGAGGCCUAUGAGACAUCACUGUGGCUUUUGAGGGUAACAAAUGGCUUCCAAAAACUGCUUGUUGCUUUGGCAUUGGGGAACUUUUACAGCCUGCAUGGUAAAAGUAGCUAUAUGUUAACUUUCUUUAACAGGUCUAAGUUCAUUUUAUAGGAAGAGACAAGACUGAACAGUCAAACCUGUAACAAUGCUAUGUAUUAAUAUACUUGGUUCUGUUUAUCACAAAUGAUUUUUCUCAGAAGCAAAAUCCUGUCCAAGUUAUAACUAAAUAUGCACAUUUAAGGGUCUUGUCAAGUGUAUCUUAAAAUAAUUGUUUUUGUUAUUCUGUGCUGCCAUAUUUAUGCAAUGUAGGAAGAUUACACCAAGGGCUAACUAUCGACCAGAAAUGAACAUCUGCUCCUUUCCAAUAGUCAUUUGACUGGCUAUUAAUCUUGGCAGUAUUUACACAAGAAGAGAGAGACUGGAAACAUUUUGGUUCCUAAAGCUCACCAGUUUCUGACAAUAAUACUGGACUCAAAAACAAAACAAUGCAUUCAUCGCUUCUCUUAUUAAUAGUUGUAAGAUGGCUUUUUUUUUUUUAACUGUUCUAUCUGGAUCUCAUCACGCAUAACAAGAACCCAUAUUCUGUGACUUCUCUGUUUUACACAUUAGUCUCAAUUUAUAAAAUUAUUUCAAAUUCUGAAGUCUCGGGACAUGUCCACAUCCUGGGAGGCUGCUUGACGUGCUUCUCCUUCAAAAUUUCUAGCCUGUAAGUUUCUAAAAGUUUACAGAAAACCUUACACUUUUCUGAAAAUUCUCUCCUGUAGAGCAAUGGGAUGAGGUGUUACAUUCAUUUUUGUUUCUGUUUUUGAAGGAAUUCUUUCCAAGGACUCAAGUGUCUCACCUUGUACGAAUCUCCUCCCCUCUAACACUUGAUGCCACACGAUCUUCAUCAGUAUUUGGAUAAAGACAACAUAGAAACAUAACUAGGGCCUUGCACUGUUCAGUCUUGGAACCAACUAUUUUCCCAUGAUGGUGAUUGAUAGCCUUCAAUUUCUUUUAUACUUUAAAAGAAUAUUAGAAAAUAUCUGAAAGAGGUAUCAGGGUGGAUAUGAAAAGUCAUUCUAAGUAACUUCAUCUCUAAACUUUGAUUACUAAACUUAGUUCUCAAAGAUGGAG
ensembl:lncRNA